AUUGAACUGGAAGAAGACUCCAGGGCACUGCCCUUCCAAUGCCAAGCAGUAAACCCAUCUACACUCUGUCAUCAUUAUAUGUAAACAUCAUUUAAUGAGUGCUUUCAUGGAAAAUCAUGUAAAGAAUAUGGAAGAAUUCUUUUUUCCUCUUAUGUUUUCACAGAAUAAUAAGCAUGAUGAAUAAGGCGCAAAUGUAUUGUAGAGAGCUGGAAGAGCCUCAGACACCAGGCAAGUAAAUCAAAACAAAGUAUUGUUAAUGAUUACCCUGGAUACUUUAAGAAGAAUGUAGAAGAUCAAUAGAUCUACAGAACAUUAAUCCUUCUAGAAAAUGUGAUCAUCCUAGAUUUUAUUUGUUUAAGAUUGAUACAAUUGAGUUAUAUUUUUGUGAGUCUAAUGGAGGAGAAUCACGUCAUAUCUCAGGAAAGCAAUCCUCUCAGCUGUGCUGGCCAAGUUUCCUCUAAUUCUUUCAACCAAUGAAGUAGUUGAUAUAUUCUUGUAAACUUUCUGGGGGCAGUUUGUCCAUUAUUGGGCCUGAACUUGAGCAGUUGGAGAAAGAAAGAAAAAAUAAACAACUCCUCUUAUAUCAAAAUAAUAUAACUGAGUCUUGUUUUAAUAAAAUCCUAGAGCACAUCCUAGAGUCACCUAGCCAGUAACAGGUACUCAAUAAAUGCUUUUCUGGUAAAUUGAUGAAAAUCUAAAUAUGUGAAAAAGAUCAAUAAAAAUGUGAUCAUUUACACUCCCAAAAGACUUAUCUGCUCAUUUGGCUUAGAAUGCUGACUUUAAAUGUGGAUCUUUUCACUAGUACUAAGGAAUAAGAAUGUGAGCUUUUUCUUUUGAAGUUACUUAGUCCUUUUCCCCAUCUACAAGGUUAUACCUAUCACCUCAGCAGCUUAUGACUUUACCUAUCGUGUACAUGAAGAGAGGGCUUCUAGUUCCUGAAUUUUCCAGGGAGAUUAUGGAGGAAGAAGCACCACUGCAACUCUUUCCUUGUAAGUUUCUAAGUUGCCUUUCCACCGAUUGUGCCCAAAGUAAAAGAGUCUUUCUAGCAUUCCAGGCUCUGGAGAAAGAGGAGCAGAUUUAUCUGGGCUUGAGCAAAAAACAGCCUGGGGUGAAAUCUUUUUUUUUUUUUUGAGACAGAGUCUCGCUCUGUCACCCAGGCUGGAGUGCAGUGGCCGGAUCUCAGCUCACUGCAAGCUCCGCCUCCCAGGUUUACGCCAUUCUCCUGCCUCAGCCUCCCGAGUAGCUGGGACUGCAGGCGCGCGCCACCUCGCCCGGCUAGUUUUUUGUAUUUUUUAGUAGAGACGGGGUUUCACGGGGUUAGCCAGGAUGGUCUCGAUCUCCUGACCUUGUGAUCCGCCCGUCUCGGCCUCCCAAAGUGCUGGGAUUACAGGCUUGAGCCACCGCGCCCGGCCAUGCGUGAAAUCUUAAAAGUGAUCAGACUUUGGUCACGUGUCAGAAGGUUCUCCUUUUUCAAGAUGUUAUUAUGACCUAGGCAGAAUUGUUGCCUUUGAAGAAAGUCAGCACUGUUGCCCAACCUUCCUGCCUUCUGUUAAGUAGCUUUGUUACCUUGUACACAUCACUUUUCAGGUUCAUAGUUCCUCUUCACUGAAAUGUUGAAGUUGUGCCAUAUGAUUGCAGAAUUCUUUCCAGCUGUAAUUCUUUUUCUAAUGCAUGUGUGCCAACAUACGUAGAUAUUGAUUAACAAUAUAUUAUAAUCUGCAACAUUAGUUGUUUUAUCAGUGUGCACACUUUCAUUCUCUAAAACCUGCCAGUGACAAAAUGCUUCACUGUUUUACUCCCCAAUGUCCACCAUUUCUUGCUCUGCAUUAAGAUUGCAUAUUAUUCCUAAAAGAAGUCAUUGGGACCGGAUGCAGUGGCUCAUGCCUGUAAUCCCAGUAUUUUGGGAGGCCAAGGCAGGAGGAUUCCUUGAGCCCAGGAGUUUGAGGCCAGCCUAGGCAACAUGGCAAAACCCCAUCUCUUCAAAAGAUACAAAAAUUAGCCAGGCAUUGUAAUGCAUGCCUGUUAUCCCAGCUGAGGUGGGAGGAUUGCUUGAGCCCAGAAGGUCAAGGCUGCAGUGAGCUGUGAUGGAGCCACUGCACUCCAGCCUGGGUGACAGAACAAGACCCUGUCCAAAAAAAAAGAGGUUAUUGGGAAUAUAACCUUAAAUAAUGGGGAAUCUUGUGUUCUUACAAAAAAUUUGUGAUUAGUUCAGUGAGUAAAGCUUUUCCAAAUUGCCAAAGCUAAAUAAAUAAAUAAUCCCUGUUUAUUCCAAGGCUUAAUCCUACUGAGGCCCCCAACCUGAUUCCUGAUUAAUCAUGCAGCAGACAGCAAACAUCUUCUUCGUUUUUUUUUUUUUUUGAGACGGAGUCUUGCUGUGUCACCCAGGCUGGAGUGCAGUGGCACGAUCUCAGCUCACUGCAACUUCACCUCCUGGGUUCAAGUAAUUCUGCCUCAACCUCCUGAGUAGCUGGGAAUACAGACAUGCUCCACCAUGCUCCACCAUGCCUGGAUAAUUUUUGUAUUUUUAGUAGAGAUGGGAUUUCACCAUGUUGGCCAGGCUGGUCUCAAACUCCUGACCUCAUGAUCCACCUGCCUCUGCCUCCCAAAGUGUUGGGAUUACAGGUGUGAACCACCACGCCUGGCCAGCAAACUGCUUCUUAUUAGCUGACCUUACACAUUUCAAUGAAACAGACUGUGAAAAAUGACACAUACACACAGAUCCCAGGCAGUAAUUACAUUAGAAAAUACUUUGUUAAUUGUUUUACAGACAGCAUUAGCCUUAAGAAUAAAAUUCCGUGAACAGCAAAUCCUUUUUCUUUCAUUUGCUUCUAAUCUAAGGGAUAAACAUAGUCAAAUGCUGUUAUCGUUACCCAGGAAAACUUCAGCUUUAAAACUGAUUGAAUCCAUUUUCUUUAUCUUAUUAUCUUAGACCAUAGCAAUUUUAUAGAACACAGGUAGAAUGAUAGCUAGCAGUCCAUGAUCCAGACAGUAUCAUAUAUCCCUUGUUUGUUUUCUUUCUUUUCUCUUUAUCUUUAUCCUGAAAUUUCCUUUCUGUUCUGCUCUGAAAGUAAAAAUCUGAAAGGAAAAUAAUUAGCUACUCAUGCUCUUCUAACACAGCCACAUGUUCACAUGAUAAAUGAAACAUUACCACACAAAACUGCUACAAUGACAUCCUUAUUGUAGGUCCAAUUUACUUAAUUUUAUGUCUUCCAACUGUUAAGGGUCACUCAUUCUGUAAAAUUAAUGGCUGAAAUAAAUUUAGAAUGUAAAAAGCAUAAGGAAAAUAUUUCUUUACCCAAUGUAUGGCCAACCUGUGGAAUUUAUUAGCUUGGGAGGUCAUAGAUUCAGUCAAGAGAUGAAUUAGAAAAGCUAGAUAAUUGUAUGACAAGUUAUAAUACUGUAGUUAUGAAUACUAAGAAAAGGUACUAAUAGAAUCUCUUGCUUCAGAGUACAAGCUGAUCUCAGCUCACUAGGAGCUUUGAAGGACUUCUCUUAUUUCUUUAUGAUGCUCCUCCGAGCAAGUGGCUGGAUUCACAUUGAGGUUUUACCUCUUUUUGAAAGUAACUACUAUUGUGAACAGGAUACCACAUUUAGGUCAAACUGGGGUUUUGUUGUUGUUUGUGCAACAGCGUCUUGCUCUGUCACCCAGGCUGGAAUACAGUGGGGCGAUCAUGACUCAUUGCAGCCUUGACCUCCUAGGCUGAAGUGAUCUUCCUGCUUCAGCCUCCUAAAGUGCUGGGAUUACAGGCAUGAACCACUGUGCCUGGCCUGUGUUUUUUGUUUUUUGGCAAAGAAAACCACAAAUGUCUGCUAAUACAAUACAAAAAGAACAAUGAAAUGACACGUGAGUUUAAACUUUCUAAAGAGUUUAUUCAUUAAUUCAAUUAAUAUUUAUUGAGGGCCUAUCAUGAACCUAUCACUGUCCUAGGUGUUUGGAAUACAACAAGGAACAAAACAGAGAAAAAUCCUUGCUUUCAUGAGACUCCCCCCAUUAUUUUAUUCCGAGGUAUCGGUAUUGAAGUCUAUGAUCUUGUGAUAAUGCAGUUAGUUUAGAAGUGGAUAAGGUGCAGCGUUUCAGGUGCAGCUCCUCUUGAAGCUAUCUGCCCCCAUACCCUCCUUAAAAUAGAGCGACAAAUACUCUCAUUUAAAGAAGGGAGGAAAUGAGAGAUAUGUAGCAGUUAGUAGUCCAUAAAAAUUCUGAAGUCUAACCUGUCAGAUGUUGCUGGGGUCCCUCUAUUCAAGAAGCAGAGAAUGUUUUUUGAUUAGGCCCCAGUUCUUCCUAGGCUCAACUCCAUAACUUACUGUCCUUUGAUGUUCUUCUCAGAGGAAGGAGGUUUAUUGUACUAUGGGCUCUUUCCUCUACCCUCUGAGACACUCUUAUUUUUCAAUAAAAAAUAGCUUAUGUUUGCAGUUGUGUGGCUUUCUUAGCCUGCUUCCUGCAUGUGAAAAUUUGGAGGCCCAGAGAACUCUUCUCAUUUUGAUCUCUCUUUUUUUUUUUUAGUCCAAGCUUGCAGGGAUUUUUAUCAGUAUAACUCUUUUAAAAAUUUUUUGGAACUUUGUGGACCUCCUGUGAAUAUGAUUCAGGCCUACUCCAUGCCCUAAAGACCACAUCACUAAUUCUUUUUGAGAAAGUCACUCUCAUCUUUGGGCUAUAUACCAGGCUGCUGUGAUACAUCCUUAAGAUUCUAGGCACCACCGACUGGGCAUCGUGGCCCACACCUGUAAUCCCAGCAUUUUGGGAGGCUGAAGUGGGCGGAUCAGGAGGUUAAGAGAUUGAGACCAUUCUGGCCAACAUGAUGAAACCCCAUCUCUACUAAAAAUACAAAAGUUAGCUGGGCGUGGUGGCCUCCCAAGUAGUCCCAGCUGCUUGGGAAGCUGAGGCAGGAGAAUCGCUUGAACCCGGGAGGCAGAGGUUGCAAUGAGCCGAGAUCGCACCACUCACCACUGCACUCCAGCCUGGCGACAGAGCAAGACUCCAUCUCAAAAAAAGAAAAAAAAGAUUCUAGGCACCACCUUACACCAUUCAGUUGUUUAACAAGGGGUCUUUCAGCCACACCCUUGAUCUGGAUCUUUGCUGUGAAGUCAUUUCCUUUUUUUUUUUUUUUGAGACAAGGUCUUGCUCUGUUGCCAAGACAGGAGUGCAAUGCCAUGAUCAUAGCUCAUGUAACCUCAAAUUCCUGUCCUCAAAUGAUCAUCUCACCUUGGCUUCCCAAAGUACUGGGAUUACAGGCAUGAGCCACCACACCCAGCCAGUCAUUUAUUACUUUGAGAAUCUUUUAAUGGCUAGAGAGACCAGAAAUAUGAAGUGUUUUUCCCCCAGCUCUCAAGUCCUGGCUCCUUUAUAUUGCUUAUGAAUUCUGCAGGAAAACUGCACAGUUCUUUCUU
rnacentral:lncRNA from 1 species